CUGGGAGUCAGAGUCAGCUGAGCUGGGCUCUGAGACUCGGUGCUGUGGGUUGUUUAUCACAGUAUAUGUAUUAUAAUUGUGGCCAUGAAAUCUUAUGCGCCUAUUACUGCCUCUCUCAGAAUAAAGAAUCAGGUCAGAGAGCACCCAUCUGAGGUUAGCUGUUUCAGGGAGAGGAAGUUAAUUCUGUCCUGGACAGAAGGCUGCAGUAUUGAUGUUUCUUUUGUUUUUGCUGUGUGUUUGUUUUAAAACAGGAGAAAGCAACUCAUCCUGGAGGCCCUGGGAAUAUCAUGGAUGAGAUUGGUCUGAAAUGACUGUUCAGUCUGAGGCUGAUCAAAUCUAGAGGGGUUCCUGCUCCGGUUCCCGGUGUGUGCAGUGGCAGCUUGCAGAAGUAGUGACAUCACAGCCUUCCUGAAAAAGCCCUGGAGUAACAUGAAGAAGAGGAGGCUCUUCCUAAGCAUGGCAGAGAGGGGGAUGCUGCACAUUUGACAUUGUAUUUACUUUAAAAAAAAAAAGGCAACAACCCAAUCUCCCCGGGGAGGCCAGGUCAGACACAUUUGCUGUUUCUUGAGAAUAAACUUUCCAAUAUGUUUGUACAGCUGCAUACUUAAUCCACUCUAAAAUUCAGUCACUGCAGGCUGACUGAUUGCUUCAGUGGAAGCCCUGUUUCCUGUUCCUCAAAGAGGGCAGCUUCUCCCAGGCUCCCUGUGGCUGGUACAGUGCUCAGCACUGGCAGGAGAGAGCAACAUUUACAAUAAAAAAAGCUACUGUCUCAAGAAACCCUCA